rnacentral:rRNA from 1 species
AUUGAACGCUGGCGGCAUGCUUUACACAUGCAAGUCGAACGGCAGCACGGACUUCGGUCUGGUGGCGAGUGGCGAACGGGUGAGUAAUACAUCGGAACGUACCCAGUAAUGGGGGAUAACUAUCCGAAAGGAUAGCUAAUACCGCAUACGCCCUACGGGGGAAAGAGGGGGAUCGCAAGACCUCUUGUUAUUGGAGCGGCCGAUGGGUGAUUAGCUAGUUGGUGAGGUAAAGGCUCACCAAGGCGACGAUCAGUAGCGGGUCUUAGAGGACGAUCCGCCACACUGGAACUGAGACACGGUCCAGACUCCUACGGGAGGCAGCAGUGGGGAAUCUUGGACAAUGGGCGCAAGCCUGAUCCAGCAAUGCCGCGUGCGUGAAGAAGGCCUUCGGGUUGUAAAGCGCUUUUGUCGGGGAGCAAAUCCUUGUGGCUAAUACCCACCGGGGAUGAGAGUACCUGAAGAAUAAGGACCGGCUAACUACGUGCCAGCAGCCGCGGUAACAC